rnacentral:rRNA from 1 species
GUGAGAGUGGCGAACGGGUGAGUAACACGUGAGUAACCUGUCCUUUUCUUUGGGAUAAGCAUUCGAAAGGGUGUUUAAUACCUUAUGUUCUGUCUGCCUCGCAUGGGGUGGGUGGGAAAGGCUUUGGCCGGAUUUGGGUGGGCUCGCGGUCUAUCAGCUUGUUGGUGGGGUGAUGGCUUACCAAGGCUUUGACGGGUAGCCGGCCUGAGAGGGUGGUCGGUCACAUUGGGACUGAGAUACGGCCCAGACUCCUGCGGGAGGCAGCAGUGGGGGAUAUUGCACAAUGGGCGAAAGCCUGAUGCAGCGACGCCGCGUGGGGGAUGAAGGCCUUCGGGUUGUAAACUUCUUUUGCUCUGAACAAGGCAUGCCAAUGGGUGUGUUGAGUGUAGGGGUUGAUUAGCGCCGGCUAACUACGUGCCAGCAGCCGCGGUAAUACGUAGGGCGCGAGCGUUGUCCGGAAUUAUUGGGCGUAAAGGGCUUGUAGGUGGCUGGUUGCGUCUGUCGUGAAAGCUCAUGGCUUAACUGUGGGUUUGCGGUGGGUACGGGCUGGCUUGAGUGCAGUAGGGGAGGCUGGAAUUCCUGGUGUAGCGGUGGAAUGCGCAGAUAUCAGGAGGAAUACCGGUGGCGAAGGCGGGUCUCUGGGCUGUUACUGACACUGAGGAGCG